rnacentral:rRNA from 1 species
GACUGAGGGGGGCUGCUCCUAGUACGAGAGGACCGGAGUGGACGCAUCACUGGUGUUCGGGUUGUCAUGCCAAUGGCACUGCCCGGUAGCUAAAUGCGGAAAAGAUAAGUGCUGAAAGCAUCUAAGCACGAAACUUGCCCCGAGAUGAGUCUUCCCUGAGACUUUGAGUCUCCUGAAGGAACGUUAAAGACGAUGACGUUGAUAGGCCGGGUGUGUAAGCGCAGCGAUGCGUUGAGCUAACCGGUACUAAUGAACCGUGAGGCUUAACCUU